UCAUAAAACUCUCACACAGAGGAGCAUCUCCACCUGAGAAAACACACCCCACUGAUUGGGGACCAUAAAACGCAAAUCACACUCACAUCUGCUCUCUCUCUCUCUCACCUUAGGUCACUUUAAGGACACUAAAAACUAAGUUAUGACUUAUCCUGUUCUGUAAUGUAAAAGGUUUUCUGAUCAUACAUGUUUGGUAUCAUUCAAGAGGUCUCAGUGCAACUGGUAAAACGGUCUCAUUCCCUUUCAGCAAAGUCAAAUCACAAGUAAGAUUUCAGAACUUAAUAAAAUACAGUAUUCUAUCCGGGGCAUGCCCCUCUCAAGUCUCACACAGAGACCAGAUGCUGUAUGCAGAUUAGGUGUAUUCUUUGUAAACAUCAAACAACCUACUCAAUCAAAGGUCAACUUACAACUCCCUAAAUUGUAAACCAAAUCCUAAAUAACAUCAAACACACACAUCUGAAAUAACAAUGGAAUCGUUUGGUACUUAAGGAAGGAUGGCAGAG